UACAGAGGUCCCGAGCGUUGUUCGGAUUCACUGGGCGUAAAGGGUGCGUAGGUGGCCGGGUAAGUUUGAUGUGAAAGCUCGGAGCUCAACUCCGAAAUGGCAUUGAAUACUAGCGUGCUGGAGGUUUGGAGGGGGGACUGGAAUUCUUGGUGUAGCAGUGAAAUGCGUAGAUAUCAAGAGGAACACCAGUGGCGAAGGCGAGUCCCUGGACAACACCUGACACUGAGGCACGAAAGCUAGGGGAGCAAACAGGAUUAGAAACCCGCGUAGUCC
rnacentral:rRNA from 1 species